CCGAUAGCUCAGCUGGAUAGAGUACCUGACUACGAAUCAGGGGGUCAGGGGUUCGAAUCCCUUUCGGUG
rnacentral:tRNA from 1 species